rnacentral:rRNA from 1 species
GAUGAACGCUGGCGGCGUGCCUAAUACAUGCAAGUCGAGCGAACAGACGAGGAGCUUGCGCCUCUAACGUUAGCGGCGGACGGGUGAGUAACACGUGGAUAACCUACCUAUAAGACUGGGGUAACUUCGGGAAACCGGAGCUAAUACCGGAUAAUAUAUUGAACCGCAUGGUUCAAUAGUUAAAGACGGUUUUGCUGUCACUUAUAGAUGGAUCCGCGUCGGAUUAGCUAGUUGGUAAGGUAACGGCUUACCAAGGCAACGAUGCGUAGCCGACCUGAGAGGGUGAUCGGCCACACUGGAACUGAGACACGGUCCAGACUCCUACGGGAGGCAGCAGUAGGGAAUCUUCCGCAAUGGGCGAAAGCUUGACGGAGCAACGCCGCGUGAGUGAUGAAGGUCUUCGGAUCGUAAAACUCUGUUAUUAGGGAAGAACAAAUGUGUAAGUAACUAUGCACGUCUUGACGGUACCUAAUCAGAAAGCCACGGCUAACUACGUG